AACGAACGCUGGCGGCAGGCCUAACACAUGCAAGUCGAACGCUCCAGCAAUGGAGAGUGGCAGACGGGUGAGUAACGCGUGGGAACCUACCCUUUGGUUCGGAAUAGCUCAGGGAAACUUGAGGUAAUACCGGAUAAGCCCUUCGGGGGAAAGAUUUAUCGCCAAUGGAUGGCCCGCGUCGGAUUAGCUAGUUGGUAGGGUAACGGCCUACCAAGGCGACGAUCCGUAGCUGGUCUGAGAGGAUGAUCAGCCACACUGGGACUGAGACACGGCCCAGACUCCUACGGGAGGCAGCAGUGGGGAAUAUUGGACAAUGGGCGCAAGCCUGUUCCAGCCAUGCCGCGUGAGUGACGAAGGUCUUCGGAUUGUAAAGCUCUUUUGGCGGGGAAGAUAAUGACGGUACCCGCAGAAUAAGCCCCGGCUAACUUCGUGCCAGCAGCCGCCGCAG
rnacentral:rRNA from 1 species